ACGUCCUGAGUGGAAGGAUCCCUUUGGGAGCCCCUCAGGAGGGGGACCUGGGCCAAGGGCAGGUUGCUGGCAACCUGGGGUGGGCUUC
ensembl:misc_RNA